rnacentral:lncRNA from 1 species
CGUUAAAGUUUCUUUUCAUAUUUUAUGAUUCAUCACGAUAACGAUCGUUAUCGGGACGACCGAAGAUCAGCAUGCGCUAUAUUUCUAUCGAUGCACUUAUAUGUGCACGAUAUCAUACCCGACAUUUGCAACAUGCCAUGAAAAGUUUAAUCUCAACCUAUGACAAAGAUUCGUAAUAUUAAAAAAAUACGUGGUACUUAUAUUUAAGGCACGCAUUGACAAGCAAAGAGAUCAUCAUGAAAUAUCAAUAUUUGAUAACAUUAUUGAAGCUAACCGUUCUUGUUUUAUUACAAGAAUCUUAUCCUACAAUAAACGUUGGAACUCUUCAAA